rnacentral:rRNA from 1 species
CCUACGGGGGACAGCAGUGGGGAAUAUUGCACAAUGGGGGAAACCCUGAUGCAGCGACGCCGCGUGAGUGAAGAAGUAAUUCGUUACGUAAAGCUCUAUCAGCAGGGAAGAAAAUGACGGUACAUGAGUAAGAAGCCCCGGCUAACUACGUGCCAGCAGCCGCGGUAAUACGUAGGGGGCAAGCGUUAUCCGGAUUUACUGGGUGUAAAGGGAGCGUAGACGGUGCGCCAAGUCUGGAGUGAAAUGCCGCAGCUUAACUGCGGAACUGCCUUGGAAACUGGCGGACUAGAGUGGGGGAGGGGUAAGCGGAAUUCCUAGGGUAGCGGUGAAAUGCGGAGAUAUUAGGAGGAACACCGGUGGCGAAGGCGGCUUACUGGACCGUAACUGACGUUGAGGCUCGAAAGCGUGGGGAGCAAACAGGAUUAGAUACCCGGGUAGGC